GGCGUGACCGAGCGGUUUCUUCACUUCGACGGCCACACGCCUUCGGACCUGCGUCCCUCCCGUCGCUUUUCACCCGGCGAUUCUCUGGUGACAAUCGUCUGAGAGAUGUGCGAUGGGUCUUUCGGUCGAAAUGGGUGGUCACGUGGAGACGAUCUUGGAGUGUGACCAAGAAUCGAUUUUUCGGCAUUUUCCCUUCCAGUUGUGUGAUUAUCUUAACCUAAUUGCCUUUUUUUACCCUAUUUUGUUUUGCUUUCA